CUAACACAUGCAANGUCGAAUGGUAACAGGAAACAGCUUGCUGUUUCGCUGACGAGUGGCGGACGGGUGAGUAAUGUCUGGGAAACUGCCUGAUGGAGGGGGAUAACUACUGGAAACGGUAGCUAAUACCGCAUAACGUCGCAAGACCAAAGAGGGGGACCUUCGGGCCUCUUGCCAUCAGAUGUGCCCAGAUGGGAUUAGCUAGUAGGUGGGGUAACGGCUCACCUAGGCGACGAUCCCUAGCUGGUCUGAGAGGAUGACCAGCCACACUGGAACUGAGACACGGUCCAGACUCCUACGGGAGGCAGCAGUGGGGAAUAUUGCACAAUGGGCGCAAGCCUGAUGCAGCCAUGCCGCGUGUAUGAAGAAGGCCUUCGGGUUGUAAAGUACUUUCAGCGGGGAGGAAGGGAGUAAAGUUAAUACCUUUGCUCAUUGACGUUACCCGCAGAAGAAGCACCGGCUAACUCCGUGCCAGCAGCCGCGGUAAUACGGAGGGUGCAAGCGUUAAUCGGAAUUACUGGGCGUAAAGCGCACGCAGGCGGUUUGUUAAGUCAGAUGUGAAAUCCCCGGGCUCAACCUGGGAACUGCAUCUGAUACUGGCAAGCUUGAGUCUCGU
rnacentral:rRNA from 1 species